AUUGAACGCUGGCGGCAUGCCUUACACAUGCAAGUCGAACGGCAGCGGACCUUCGGGUGCCGGCGAGUGGCGAACGGGUGAGUAAUAUAUCGGAACGUACCUUUCAGUGGGGAGUAACGUAGCGAAAGUUACGCUAAUACCGCAUAUUCUGUGAGCAGGAAAGCAGGGGAUCGCAAGACCUUGCGCUGAUUGAGCGGCCGAUAUCAGAUUAGCUAGUUGGUGAGGUAAAGGCUCACCAAGGCGACGAUCUGUAGCGGGUCUGAGAGGAUGAUCCGCCACACUGGAACUGAGACACGGUCCAGACUCCUACGGGAGGCAGCAGUGGGGGAA
rnacentral:rRNA from 1 species